AGAGUUUGAUCCUGGCUCAGGAUAAACGCUGGCGGCGCACAUAAGACAUGCAAGUCGAACGGACUUAACCAUUAGUUUACUAUUGGAGCGGUUAGUGGCGGACUGGUGAGUAACACGUAAGCAACCUGCCUAUCAGAGGGGAACAACAGUUAGAAAUGACUGCUAAUACCGCAUAUACCCAAGUGUCACAUGGCACAAUGGGGGAAAGAGCAAUCCGCUGAUAGAUGGGCUUGCGU
rnacentral:rRNA from 1 species